UUCCUGAUUGGCUUGUUGCUUACGAUCCUGACGGACAUCAUUCACUUGAGCAUCUAUUAUCCCCGGGGUCACAAUCUAACGGACCUGCAGCGCUUCACUGCGGGCAUGGCCAUCUUCAGCCUCCUCCUCAAACCCUUGUCUUGCUUCUUUGUCUAUCAGAUGUACCGGGAGCGUGGGGGAGAGUACGCCUUCAACCUAGGUUUUCCCACCGUGAGCCGGGAUCGCAGUGCCUACCAGUCGAUUGAUCAGCAAGAUGUACCAUGCCCAUACCCUGACCUGGACAGCAAGCCAGCCCCACGUCCUUUCUGAGGCAUUCCUCCUUGCCAGAAACAGAGAACAGGACUUCACUGAUGUUCCCCCUCCUCCACCCAACAACAAAUAAAACUACCCUGCCCUGUUCCCCUCCCUCCCCCUUCUGGUGUACAAGCAAGAGAGGAUCUAAUUUUGUGCUCCUAGAACAUCUAUCCUUUCCUGAAACUCUGUCGGUGGAUUGGGUCCUGCACGGAGUCCUAUUGAUGUCAGUGUAAGAACUAUGAGGCUGUAUAACCCCACCCCGUCUUGCACUGGGAUGUCACUGUUGGCUGAGUAGUUGCGUGCUCCUUUCCCAUAGGCUCCCAAAUCCUGCUCUCCACAGCUCCUGCAUCACAGAUCCGCCUCACUGCCCAAGGUGUUCAUGGAGAAGCUGGCUCUUUUAAAUGUCCAUAUGUUUGGGCAGCAAUCAGUUGAGCCAGAGGGGGUGACGCUGGGUUGUAUGUACCAAUCUCACUAGUUGUUGCCAAUGGAGUUUGCAUAAAUCUGUUUCAGCGAGGUGGAUGUUCACAAAGUUGUAUUUUUCAUGCUCAUAACUGCCCAGAGUAACUGCACACUGGGCUGGAUAAAGGUGGGUCGGCACAGCCAAGGAGCUCUCGUAUUUCCUCUACCUAGUCUUGGGUUGUCGUUGUUUGAUUGUAUGUAAGUUUCAAGUCCAUCAGGACCCUGUGCGAUUACUGUUACUUGUGCGUUGUAAAUACGUUGUGCCUUCAAACACUUUUUGCCUUCACUGGACAACUACAUAGAACUUUUUUUAUUUCUAAAAUAAAAUGAGCACAGUACCACUGAAGUUAGAACUGUGUGUUAAAAAUUA